rnacentral:tRNA from 1 species
GGGAAGGCGGCCGUAGAGGGGUUAAGUUGUAGCCUUAGUUAUGAAAUUAUAGUAUUUCUCUUCCUA